rnacentral:rRNA from 1 species
GUGCAACCUGCCUUUAUCUGGGAGAUAGCCUUUCGAAAGGAAGAUUAAUACCCCAUAAUAUAUUGAUUGGCAUCAAUUAAUAUUGAAAGCUCCGGCGGAUAAAGAUGGGCACGCGCAAGAUUAGAUAGUUGGUAGGGUAACGGCCUACCAAGUCAGUGAUCUUUAGGGGGCCUGAGAGGGUGAUCCCCCACACUGGUACUGAGACACGGACCAGACUCCUACGGGAGGCAGCAGUGAGGAAUAUUGGACAAUGGGUGCAAGCCUGAUCCAGCCAUCCCGCGUGAAGGACGACGGCCCUAUGGGUUGUAAACUUCUUUUGUAUAGGGAUAAACCUUUCCACGUGUGGAAAGCUGAAGGUACUAUACGAAUAAGCACCGGCUAACUCCGUGCCAGCAGCCGCGGUAAUACGGAGGGUGCAAGCGUUAUCCGGAUUUAUUGGGUUUAAAGGGUCCGUAGGCGGAUCUGUAAGUCAGUGGUGAAAUCUCACAGCUUAACUGUGAAACUGCCAUUGAUACUGCAGGUCUUGAGUAAAGUAGAAGUGGCUGGAAUAAGUAGUGUAGCGGUGAAAUGCAUAGAUAUUACUUAGAACACCAAUUGCGAAGGCAGGUCACUAUGUUUUAACUGACGCUGAUGGACGAAAGCGUGGGGAGCGAACAGGAUUAGAUACCCUGGUAGUCCACGCCGUAAACGAUGCUAACUCGUUUUUGGGUCUUCGGAUUCAGAGACUAAGCGAAAGUGAUAAGUUAGCCACCUGGGGAGUACGUUCGCAAGAAUGAAACUCAAAGGAAUUGACGGGGGCCCGCACAAGCGGUGGAUUAUGUGGUUUAAUUCGAUGAUACGCGAGGAACCUUACCAAGGCUUAAAUGGGAAUUGAUCGGUUUAGAAAUAGACCUUCCUUCGGGCAAUUUUCAAGGUGCUGCAUGGUUGUCGUCAGCUCGUGCCGUGAGGUGUUAGGUUAAGUCCUGCAACGAGCGCAACCCCUGUCACUAGUUGCCAUCAUUCAGUUGGGGACUCUAGUGAGACUGCCUACGCAAGUAGAGAGGAAGGUGGGGAUGACGUCAAAUCAUCACGGCCCUUACGCCUUGGGCCACACACGUAAUACAAUGGCCGGUACAGAGGGCAGCUACACAGCGAUGUGAUGCAAAUCUCGAAAGCCGGUCUCAGUUCGGAUUGGAGUCUGCAACUCGACUCUAUGAAGCUGGAAUCGCUAGUAAUCG